UGGGUUUGACAUACACCGGAAAGCUGCAGAGAUGUGGCCCCUUUUUGUCGGUGUACAGGUGGUGCAUGGCUGUCGUCAGCUCGUGUCGUGAGAUGUUGGGUUAAGUCCCGCAACGAGCGCAACCCUUGUCCUGUGUUGCCAGCGCGUAAUGGCGGGGACUCGCAGGAGACUGCCGGGGUCAACUCGGAGGAAGGUGGGGAUGACGUUCCAAGGUUGGUU
rnacentral:misc_RNA from 1 species